UUCCGGUUGAUCCCGCCGGACCUGACUGCUAUCGGAUUGGUACUAAGCCAUGUGAGUCGUUGUAGCAAUACAAGGCAUACGGCUCAGUAACACGUAGUCAAUCUAACCUAUGGACGGGGAUAACCUCGGGAAACUGAGGAUAAACCCCGAUAGAUCAUAAUGCCUGGAACGGUUUAUGGUCCAAAUGAUUCGUCGCCGUAGGGUGGGACUGCGGCCUAUCAGCUUGUUGGUGAGGUUAUGGCCCACCAAGGCUAUUACAGGUACGGGCUCUGAGAGGAGAAGCCCGGAGAUGGGUACUGAGACACGGACCCAGGCCCUAUGGGGCGCAGCAGGCGAGAAACCUUUGCAAUGUGCGCAAGCACGACAAGGUUAAUCCGAGUGUUUCCUGUUAAAGGAAUCUUUUGUUAGUUCUAAAACCACUGAUGAAUAAGGGGUGGGCAAGUUCUGGUGUCAGCCGCCGCGGUAAAACCAGCACCUCAAGUGGUCAGGAUGAUUAUUGGGCCUAAAGCAUCCGUAGCCUGUUCUGUAAGUUUCCGGUUAAAUCCAUUAGCUCAACUAAUGGGCUGCCGAAAAUACUGCAAAACUAGGGAGUGGGAGAGGUAGACGGUACUCGGUAGGAAGGGGUAAAAUCCUUUGAUCUAUUGAUGACCACCUG
rnacentral:rRNA from 1 species